rnacentral:lncRNA from 1 species
CUGUUCUCCAAGAAGCAGAUGUUGAGUCAGAGUUAGGAGUGCAAGAGAAUCUGAAGGCUGUGGGGACCUGGAGGCAAUCUGCCCCGCGUGGACUUGGAGCUCCCUCCGGCUGCAGUCGGACUGCCUGCUUCUCCAGGGACCAACAUGGCAGAGGCGCGAGAUCACCCCUUCAAGGGCCUUGCAAAUCAGUAACUAACACUUAUCAGCCUUUAGCCCGUUUUGAUCCUACAUGAUUUUGACCUUAUGGCUUGACUUUGGAAUCUUCCGUCUAUAAAAGCAUGGCUC